GCUAAACACAACUAAAAAACUAAAAUAAAUUUUGAAGCCAUUCAGAAAUUCGCGCGCCUCAUAAACCCUUUCAUCUUCUUCCUCCUAUUUUCUGAAUUUUCUCUGAUAACCUCCCACCCGCUCCCUAUUAACCCUAAUUUCUGAAUUUUCCUUCCCUUACAAUCAUUUGGCUGAAUCUACAAUCUAUCUUGUGGCUUCAUCUCUUCUACAUAAUUAAUUGAAUUAUGAAUCAUUAUAAUUGAUUUUUUGAAGUUAUUAAGGAUGCACUAUAAUAGCUCUCGAUGUCUAUCCGUCCGAUUAGAUGCACCUGCCACCUAUUGAUGUGUUUGGGGCUGGUAUUCAAGAUUUCCCAGAGAAUUAUUUGAAUCUGGCAAUGUCUUCAGGAUAAGUAUGAUGAUGAAAGAUUAACUUUACUUGAGAGAGAUGACAAAAAUAGUAGCUUGGAUUGUUAGUUCUAUCAAGCCUAGUAAGGGAGCUCAGUGCCUUCGGGAUGAUAGUAUUAAGACCUAUUUGCAAUUUGAUGGAGCACAACCUCAUCUAAUAAACAUUUAGUUUCAAAAGAAAGUGAAAUUGCAACUUAUUGCACUUUGUUGAUUUCAAGCUUGAUGAGAGCUACACACCAAGCAAGAUCUCUAUUCGGUUUGGUGAUGGCUUCCAUAACUUUGAAGGUUGUUUUGGAACAUCUAACACUUAGACUUUUCUUAAGUUUGCAUUUUCCUUUUACUAUUUUGGGUUAAGAUUUACAUAAUUCUUUUACUAAUAGUUAAAAUUAUAAAUGCAUUGAAUGACAAAGCACAUACAUUCUGGCAUUGAGUAAUGAACAUGUCAUACUUUAGCCUUUUACAGUAUAAAAAAGCUAAACAGAUGCAUAUUGUUGACCAAAUGUGUUUGCUAUUGGAAGGAUUCCAUUUGACAAUUUGGUUAAUGAUUCUUUUAAUACAACUUACAUAAACAUGCAGAUUAAUAUCACAUAAAUUGUUAGUUAGUAUUUCAAAAUCUUUGAGAUGAUUGCUCGAUAUGUACUUUGUUGGCUACAAUUAUGGCAUUGUUUGUGGCUUUGGACGUCUCUUCUAAAUGUUUAAUUUGAUUUUAAUUUAUUGUGGGUUAUGUGAAUUCGGGAGCUUUAUCAGUUUAAGCUUGAAUUUAGUGUGGGUUAUGUGAUUGAGGGGUUUUUAUUAAUACCAAUUAUUUUUUUUUUUGGAAAUUCAGACUUCAUAGAACAUACAAAGACACAGGGAUUUUUCUUGAUGAAAUUUGUUACAACAUUGUGGUUGAUGCAAUGUCUAUUCAACUCUAAUUUGUUAUAGAACAUAUUUGAUUUGGUUGAUUGAAAAUAAUCUUAUUCUACAAUUUAAUAAUAAUAAUAAUAAUAAUAAUAAUAAUAAUAAUAAUAAUAAUAAUAAUAAUAAUAAUAAUAAUAAUAAUAAUA